GUUGUCGUCAGCUCGUGUCGUGAGAUGUUGGGUUAAGUCCCGCAACGAGCGCAACCCUUGAUCUUAGUUGCCAGCAUUCAGUUGGGCACUCUAAGGUGACUGCCGGUGACAAACCGGAGGAAGGUGGGGAUGACGUCAAAUCAUCAUGCCCCUUAUGACCUGGGCUACACACGUGCUACAAUGGAUGGUACAAAGGGCUGCAAACCUGCGAAGGUAAGCGAAUCCCAUAAAGCCAUUCUCAGUUCGGAUUGCAGGCUGCAACUCGCCUGCAUGAAGCCGGAAUCGCUAGUAAUCGCGGAUCAGCAUGCCGCGGUGAAUACGUUCCCGGGCCUUGUACACACCGGCCGUCACACCACGAGAGUUUGUAACACCCGAAGUUCUGAUGAGGUAACCUUUAUGGAGCCAGCCGCCUAAGGUGGGACCAGAUGAUUGGGG
rnacentral:rRNA from 1 species